UGUCGUCAGCUCGUGCCGUGAGGUGUUGGGUUAAGUCCCGCAACGAGCGCAACCCACGUCUUUAGUUGCCAGCAUUUAGUUGGGCACUCUAGAGAGACCGCCGGUGAUAAACCGGAGGAAGGUGUGGAUGACGUCAAGUCAUCAUGCCCCUUACAUCCUGGGCUACACACGUACUACAAUGCUACGGACAAAGGGCAGCAAGUUCGCGAGGACAAGCAAAUCCCAUAAACCGUGGCUCAGUUCAGAUCGUAGGCUGCAACUCGCCUACGUGAAGGAGGAAUCGCUAGUAAUCGCAGGUCAGCACUACUGCGGUGAAUACGUUCCCGGGCCUUGUACACACCGC
rnacentral:rRNA from 1 species